rnacentral:tRNA from 1 species
UGCCCCGUGGUGUAACUGGCAACACGUCGGAUUCUGGUUCCGAAGAGUCUAGGUUCGAUCCCUAGCGGGGCAA